rnacentral:rRNA from 1 species
AUAUCAGUCAUGCAUAGCAUAUCAAUAAGCGGAGGAAAAGAAACUAACAAGGAUUCCCUUAGUAACGGCGAGUGAAGCGGGAAGAGCUCAAAUUUGAAAUCUUCAAGGUUCUACCUUGACGAAUUGUAGUUUAUAGAAGUGUUUUCUGUUAGUGGAGUGGCAAAAGUUCUUUGGAAUAGGACAUCAUAGAGGGUGAGAAUCCCGUAUUUGGUCAUUCUUUCUAGCUUUGUGAUACACUUUCAACGAGUCGGAUUGUUUGGGAAUGCAGUCCAAAAUGGGUGGUAAAUUUCAUCUAAAGCUAAAUAUUGGCGAGAGACCGAUAGCGAACAAGUGCCGUGAGGGAAAGAUGAAAAGAACUUUGAAAAGAGAGUUAAACAGUACGUGAAAUUGUCAAAAGGGAAGCGUUUGACACCAGUGUUGUUUUUCCGAAAAUCAAUUACGAAUGUUUUGUUUUUGAGGAGUUAUGACUUCAUCGGCUUGCUUCUCUCUUUACGAAACUUUCUUAAUGCACUCUUCGGUUAACAAGUCAACAUCAAUUUCUUUUGUUGUAAAAGGGUAUGAGGAAGGUGGCUUUCCUUUCGGAGAAAGUGUUUAUAGCCUUGUACCUCUGCAAUCGGAGAGAUUGAGGUCUGCAGCGUAGAUCCUUCGGGGUUAGAUACAUUUGUGCUAAGUUAUAGCUUUUCAUAGACAACUUGUUGACUAUGUUAAGUCUUGUAGCUUACUCGCUGACGCUAUUUUACCUACGCUUAGGAUGUUGAUCUCUCACAGUCGAG